GGCUUUAUAGUUUAUAAAAAAUGUUAGAUUGCAAAUCUUUUGAAGAAUUUUUCUAAAGCCU
rnacentral:tRNA from 1 species